GCAAAGGGCAAACCGGCAGUGAUGCCGGGACGCAAAGCCUCCGAUCUGUCCCACCCGGGCCAGACUGCGGGGUUACC
rnacentral:ncRNA from 1 species